rnacentral:rRNA from 1 species
ACAAACGACUCUCGGCAACGGAUAUCUCGGCUCACGCAUCGAUGAAGAACGUAGCAAAAUGCGAUACUUGGUGUGAAUUGCAGAAUCCCGUGAACCAUCGAGUUUUUGAACGCAAGUUGCGCCCGAAGCCAUCCGGUUYAGGGCACGCCUGCCUGGGCGUCACGC